CUUAAGAUAAUAAAGAACACAAAGAUACUCAAAAAACGUUUACCUAUUAACCAUAAUAAAAAAGAUUGAUAAAAAAGGGAGGGUUCCAGGGCCAGGGUGGUAUCAUUAAUAUAUGAAUAUGAUUAAUCCAAAUAAUUAAUUUAGAGAUAUAAUUGAGUUGAAUGGUUGGGUUGCGGGCGUAUGGGCGCUUUCGUUAGAUCUUUAUACUUAACUUUAUUUUAAAGGGGAUUGAAUUUAAAUUUUAUUUAUACUUACCAAAAAUUUGUUUUAGCAUGUCGUUAUAAAAAAUGACCUAAAAUUAUACUUUUUUUACAUACCUGAAGAAAAGCUCUUUUGUUUUUUUCAUAAAUAUAUUUUUGCUUGAGUUUCAGAGAGUGCGCUAACGCAUGAAAUCAGCAGCCUAAAGACUACGGCCGCAAGGCUAAAAUUUAAAGGAAUUGACGGGGGCUUACACAAGCGGUGGAGCAUGUGGUUUAAUUCGAAACAACGCGCAGAACCUUACCAAUCCUUGCAAUAUACAGGAAACAACUGUUACAAGUUGUCUUUUGGUAUACAGGCGCUGCAUGGCUGUCGUCAGUUCGUGGCGUGAGCUGUUGGGUUAAGUCCUAGAACGAACGCAACCCUCUUAGCAUGUGCAAUAAUGUUGCCUUGCUAAACUGCCAGUGACAUACGGGAGGAAGGAGAGGAUGACGUCAAGUCCGCAUGGCCCUUAUGGGUUGGGCUACACACGUGCUACAAUGGCGAACACAAAGGGAUGCAAGAUGGCAACAUGGAGCAAAUCCUCAACUUUCGUCGUAGUUCGGAUUGUUCUCUGCAACUCGAGAACAUGAAGUUGGAAUCGCUAGUAAUCGUAGAUCAGCAUGCUACGGUGAAUUUGUAUCUAAGCCUUGUACACACCGCCCGUCACAUAAUGGGAGCGGGACUUGCACAAAGCAUAUUAAACACCAUUUGGACAGAUUUUAACACGUUUUUUUCUGCCUUUGUUUGUUUAGUACGUUACUGUAGGUACUGUG
rnacentral:rRNA from 1 species